ACGUAGCUCAGCCUGGUCAGAGCGCCAGUCUUAUAAACUGGUGGUCGCCGGUUCAAAAGCAAGGCUA
rnacentral:tRNA from 1 species